UCUUCAGAAGGAGACAAAUAACAAAAUGAACAAUCCUGCUAUUAAGAGAAUAACAAAUGAAAUUAUCAAAUCACCCGAGGAUAAACGAGAAUAUCGUGGACUGGAAUUGGCAAAUGGCAUUAAAGCACUUCUCAUUAGUGACCCCACCACGGAUAAGUCUUCAGCAGCCCUUGAUGUGCACAUAGGGUCUUUGUCUGAUCCGCCCAACAUUGCUGGACUUAGUCAUUUUUGUGAACAUAUGCUGUUUCUGGGAACCAAGAAAUACCCAAAAGAGAACGAAUAUAGUCAGUUUCUCAGUGAGCAUGCAGGGAGUUCCAAUGCUUUCACCAGUGGAGAGCAUACAAACUAUUACUUCGAUGUGUCACAUGAACACCUAGAAGGUGCACUGGACAGAUUUGCCCAGUUUUUCCUGUGUCCUUUGUUUGAUGAAAGCUGCAAAGAUAGGGAAGUGAAUGCUGUUGAUUCUGAGCAUGAAAAGAAUCUGAUGAAUGAUGCCUGGAGGUUAUUUCAAUUGGAGAAGGCUACUGGAAACCCCAAUCAUCCCUUCAGUAAAUUUGGAACAGGGAACAAACUCACUCUGGAAACUAGACCAACCAAAGAAGGAAUAGAUGUAAGACAAGAGUUAUUGAAGUUUCAUUCUACUUACUAUUCAUCAAAUUUAAUGGCUAUUUGUGUCUUAGGAAGAGAAUCAUUGGAUGAGCUGACUUCCCUAGUGGUGAAGUUAUUUUCAGAAGUAGAGAAUAAGAAUGUUCCUGUACCAGAAUUUCCUGAACAUCCUUUCCAAGAAGAACAUCUCAGGCAACUUUACAAAGUGGUACCUAUUAAGGACAUCAGAAAUCUUUAUGUCACAUUUCCUAUACCAGACCUUCAGAAAUACUAUAAAUCAAAUCCUGGCCAUUACCUUGGUCAUCUGAUUGGGCAUGAGGGCCCAGGGAGUCUUCUGUCAGAGCUUAAAGCCAAAGGAUGGGUGUAUACUCUUGUUGGAGGACAGAAGGAAGGUGCUAGAGGUUUCAUGUUUUUCAUUAUUAAUGUGGACUUAACAGAGGAAGGACUUUUGCAUGUUGAAGAUAUUAUUUUGCACAUGUUUCAAUAUAUUCAAAAGCUACGUAUAGAAGGACCUCAAGAAUGGGUUUUCCAAGAGUGCAAGGAUCUAAAUGCUGUGGCUUUCAGAUUUAAAGAUAAAGAACGACCACGAGGAUAUACAUCAAAACUUGGAGGAAUGUUGCACUAUUAUCCUAUAGAAGAAGUAUUGGCUGCUGAAUAUUUGCUUGAAGAAUUCAGGCCUGAUUUAAUAGAGAUGGUAUUGGAUAAAUUGAGACCAGAAAACAUUCG
rnacentral:sRNA from 1 species